CUGUAUGCUCAGUGGCUGCUGGGUCUGCAGGGGGCUGGAGAGAUAAGGUGCCCUGAUCAUCACUGGAGGUGGGUUGGAGCUUGGUGGGCUGCUGCCUCUUCCACCUGUUAGGUAUAUAAGGAGCACUAAGUCUCUCACUCCUCUGCCAGCUGCCCAAAUUCUUGAUUUUGUAACCAGACAAGGUUCUUUGGGUAGAUGCCAUAUCUUUUAUUAGACCAACUAAGUAAUUGGAAAUAUUGUUCUUUGCAAGUUUUCAGGCACAAACACCCUUCUUCAGGCAUAGAGAAAGUCUGCUGGUGAAUAGUGUGCUCUCCUGGGUAGAUUUUGUAAUCUGUCUUCAUCGGAGCCUUAAGACUAAUAAAACUCCAGUCAACACUAGCACUGGUAUUGAUUCAUCACACCCAGUUGUUUCCCUGGGCCUCCCUAUUAACUAAGGGGAAAAGAGAGUGAUGACUCUCAUAUUAAAAAGAGACUCUCAUAUUAAAAAGAAAAUUGUGACAUAGAAGGAAAACAUAGUCAGCUAAUGAAAGGAAAAUCAAAAGAACAGCUGCUUCCAGAUAUUAUUUUCAGUCAGGGUUAUCAGCAAGUUUAUUAUAAUUCCUGACAUUUCUUUCCAAGAAGAAAAUGGAUCAAACCUACUAGAUGUAAUUGCAUGAUGGAAAUAAUAUAGCCUGGCUAAUCUCUUUGCCCUUUAGCUGUUCUAUGUGCUAGAAACUCUUGGGUACAGAAGAUGUGUGGUGCUUAAAUCUGUGAAGGCCUUGAUGCAAAGCCCAUGCACAGCACUUGCCUACACAAUUCUUUUAAAGCCAAGUUAGGAACCCCAUUGACCAGUGACUUUUCUGUCACCCUCCAAGAAAGAAGUGAAGCUAGACAAGGGUCAGUUCUGGCCUUCACUCCAGCUUUGCUUUCUGUCCACAAAAGAAAGGGUGUCCCCCCUUACUCUCUGUGCUCUGUCUCAGCCUGAAGCCAGACACUGGGAACAUCUACAUGUGACGCUACACUGCCAUAGUAACAUGCUACAAUGACAUAGUGUCCACAGGCAAAAAACCAUGCUACAGAGACACACUCCCUCAUUAUACUGCAUUGCUACAGCAAUGUAGGGACUAAAAAUAACCAUGUGCCACUGGCACAGAGCAGUACAAGCUGUUAUUGCACCAUCAUUUAAUACUUCCUUUUCAGCUCUUCCAAAGGAAAUACUAAAUGAUGGCACGGUAACAAUGGCGCCAUAGUGGCACAUGUAGAUACGCCCUGUGAGUACUAAUAAAGACUCCAAGUAGCAAGGCUAUUGGGCUACCCUAUGAACAAUGCAGCGGCCCUUCUGAGGAGCACAGAGCAUGGACACCCCUUAGGCAUGAGGCUGAAGUUAGUUCCUGGGUUUUUUUUCAAAGAUAAUCCUCACACAAUUAAAUGUUGUUAGUAGCGAACUACACAGGCUGAAGAGUAUUUCAUCAAAAAUGUAUAUUCUAAUAUAAAAGCCUAAGUCUGUCUGUCUGUCCAUCUGUAAUGCUUUAUUCACACUCUGACUGGCUGACAAACAGUCAAUCAGAGUGUAAACAAACAUUCCAACAAGAGCUGGCAGCAGUGAACCACUGCCAUGAUGGUGGGGACACAGGGACAGAGGGUGAGGGAGCUGCUGGCCCCAGAACAGCGGCAGCAUAGGGUGCUAGGUGGCGGCACUCCAUCCUAGCCCCCUCCGCCUCUCCACACCCCUCGCCCCCCCCAUCAUUCUUGACAGGCAGUUGGCUAGUUUACUAAUAAAAAUGUAAAAUAAUGUCUUGUAUCAAGGACAUAGCCCUGAAAGAAGACCUGCGAUUAGGCUGGGAUUAUGGGGCAAAAUCUCCUUUGGGUCAUCCCAAAACACAUGUCUACACCACCAGGGGACACUUCUGAAUAAGACUGAGCUGGGCGCUGCCUGAUACAAAGCUCAGUUUUGUGUGCCAGUCUGCCCAUUGAUGGCCCCUCAGGCCUGUGUGCAAUGUAUAUAGCACUGAAUAAGGAAUGGUGUUUAGACUGGGAUUACAGGUGAAAAUUCUUUUCAGGUCACCCCAAAGCAAAAGAAUCUUCUGAAGAGUCCUGCCCAACCUGAAGCUCAGUUUGUAAGUGCCAGGCUGCCAGCUCACAAGCCCCCAUAUCUGACAAGGAGCUGGGUUUGAGCUGAAAUUACAGAUGGAAAUCCUUUCCAGAUCUCCCCAAAACAUGUCUCUGGCACCAGGGGACUCUCCCAAGAAGCCUGGGCAGAGUUCUGCCUGACCCAAGCUUGGUUUGUGAGUAUCAGGCUGCCAACUCCCAGGACCCCAGGCCUGAAUAACAGGUUGAAUUUGGGCUCAGAUUACAAGUGAAAAACUUUUUUGGGUCAUGCCAGACCACACGUCACUGGCAUCAGGGCACUCUCCUGAUAAAGUCUGGGCAGAGUCCUGCCCAACCCAAUGCUUGGUUUGUGAGUGCCAUCCUGACAACUGACAAGCCCCAGGCCUAUGUACUCUGUACCUAGCCCUGAAUAUGGAACUGAAAUUGGGCUGGGAUUAGCAAGUAAAAUCCUCUCCAAAUCACCCCAGAACACACAUCUCUACCACCUAGAGACUCUCUUGAAGAAUUCUGAAAGGUCUCUGCCUAAGCCGAAGCUCAGUUUUUGUGUGCCAGCCUCUCAACCGAUGGCCCCCCAGAGCUGUGUACCAUUCACAUAGCACCGAAUUAGAUGAUUUGGGGCUGGGGUCAUGGAUGUGUCACAAAGCACAGGUUGUGCCUGUCACUCAAAGGGGUCUGAGCAGACAGUAAGCAGUCUGCAGGUGGGAGCAGGCCCAAUCAAAUGGUCACAUGUUAGGCAGGAGGUGGAGAGGCUGGGAGCCUGGUAUAAGGUUAGACCCCAGAGCAGAGUGGGCAGUUGCUACAGGGGGCCAAAAGAGCAACAUUACCUAGCUGGCUAGUGCUCUGAGAACAGUUUGGAGGUAAAGGGCAGGAACUCUGGGGAUGGAAGAGGUUCCUGGUCCUGGGGCAUGACCUAAAACUACACCCUGCUGGGGAGGAUGGUAUGGUGGACCUGCUUGUGGCAGGGCAGCUUCCAAGAAAUGCCAUACCUGUGCCUCCCUAGUGAAGGUGCAGGUGCUUCCCUAGUGAAGGUAUGGGGCGCCAAAAAACCUCAACCCCCGUGAAGGAGAAAGGCUAGGGGAGCACAUACCGAGAAAAAAACACAGGUCCCAAGUCCACUGAGUGGGGCCUGAGGCUCACGAAGGAGCCAGGUGUGGAGGUUCCAGAGGUGUGGGAUUGAGGCCCUGGCGUGGGGGAGUCAAGAGAGUCCAGAGCGGGGCAGAGAGCCUGAGAUUGAGUGCAGGGCUAGGAGCCCAGAGUUGGUGGGAGUUGAGGCCCCAGUGUGGGGGCAUGUGAAUUGAGGCCCAGGUGAGUCUGAGGAUGCCUGAGGCCAAGUUUAGGCUGGGCGAGGCCAAGUUUAGGCCGGGUGAGGCUGAGUGAGACCCAGUUAAGGGGCUGGGGGAGUUUUUGCACAUGGAUGCCAGCUGCGAGGCAUGGGGCAUGGUUAAGGGGAGGUUCAGAGCUGUGUAUGCGCCCUUGGCAUAAGGACAAUUAAACAGGCAGCCUCCCACCUGAAAACAACAGACUGAUAUAUCAAAGGCAUAGCAGUUGAGGCAGGUGGGCAGAUUGCCCUAGACAAGUCGGUGGGCCAAUGUCUAGACAAGCCCUGGGACAGCCCUCUUGUUAUAGGGUGGAAAUUCUUUUCAGAGCACCCCAAACCACAUGUCUCUAUCACCAGGGGGACUUUCCUGAAGAAGUCUAGGCAGGACACCACCUAAUCCAAAUCUUGGUUUUUGCAUACCAGCCUGCCAACUGACAGCCCUCGCAUUUCUGUGAUAUGUACGUUCCUGUGAAUAAGGAGCUGAUUUCGGGCUGGGAUUAUGGGGCAAAAUCCUUUUUGGAGCACCCCAAAACAUUCCUCUCCACUACCCAGAGACUCUCUGGAAGAAGCCCGGGCAGGUCCCUGCUUGACCUGAUGUUUGUUUCGUGAGUGCCAGCCUGCCACUCACCCAUCAAUACCUGCAUGCUAGGUACAUUGCCUUAUAUAAGGAAUUUAUUUUGGGUUAGAGUUAUGGGGCAAAACCUUCUUUGGGUCAUCGCAAGCCACACACCUCUGCCAUUGGGGAACUCUCCCUAAAAAGACUGGGCAGAGUCCUCUCCAACCCAAAACUCAGUUUCUGCAUGCCAACCUGACAACUGAAAGCACCCAGGCCUGUGUAAUCAAUGCAUUGCCCUGAAUAAGGAGCUGUGUCUUGGAUCGGAUUAUCAGGCAAAAUCCUUUCUGAGUCACUCCAAAACAUGUCAUCACCUCUGGCAAACUUUGUGGAAAAGCCUGGACACCGCAUUUCCUGACCCAAAGCUUGCUUUUUAUGUGCCAACCUGUCAACUGCCAGCCUCCGGACCUGUGUGCUACUUACAUUGUUAUGAACAAAGAGCUGUUUUAUGCUGAGAUUACAGGGCAAAACCCACUUUGGAUCACCCCAAAUACAGGUUUGUUACAAGGGAAAAAAGGGAGCAAGGAGGCAUCCAGGCAAAACCUUAACUAUUAACUUUUAACUGUAUCUCAGAAUUGAUCAGAGUCAUAGUCAGUGCCAAACCAAUCUGGAGAAUGUCACAACCCAAAGUUGUGAUUUUUUGUUUGUGUGUGUGCUUCGGCACAGCUAAAUUAUUUCCCGCCAAAUUUGUCGCUUUCUUUGCAUGGUGGAGUUCUCUGUUGCUAGAGAACUCUGGUGCAGCGGGGGAUUUCCCGCCGGAUUGCAGCUUCUUUGCAGUGUGCAUCUCUUUCUUGCACUGUAGUGAUACACGUUGCAAAGAAGUUCCCACCAUUUGUAUUAGGGUCCGCGCCAUGUUAUUGGCUGAUUCCUAAUUUAGGCACACGUGGCGGCUAGUGAUUGGCUUGCUAGCCGUACAAAAGGCUUGGGUAGUUUCCGCCCAAGCCGGAGGAGGGAGGAAGAGAGAGAGAUUCUGUGUGAAGAUCUCCAAGCGCUGUGGACCCUCGCAGACCCGAUGCGCCUCCCCUAAGCAGGCAAGAGAAGCAAUAGAACCGAGCCUACGGAGCUUUCGCUUCUCGCCUCUCCCCGUCACCGAGCGCAAUCCCUGGACGUAUCCCUUUCCUGUAAUUUCAGACCCCGCGGAGCCUAGCAAACUCCGGGGAAAACUUAUCGGACUCACGGAGCCUGAAUAACUCCGGGGAGAUUUUCGAACCCAACUUAACCGGACCCGUGGAGCCUAGCAAACUCCGUGGGAGCAAUCGUUUUGUCAGAAUUCUCCAACAAGGGUUCAAGCGGGAGCUGUGCCUGAAAACUUGACCAGCCUACACCGAUACCAUCUUUGGGUGCAACCCAGGCUGGACUUUAUGGUGGUUCCUUGGUUCCACCACACCAUCAUCAGCCAUCAGGUGGAGAGCCUGAAGCACAAGUAAGAAGGAAUGUUUAUGAAAAUGUACGUCCUAAUCCAUCAGAGUAUCUCCCUCAAUUGAACUGGGAUGUAGUCACCCAUGAAGACCCAAUGUUUAGCCUACAAGGAGAUGUUAAAGAAAAGAAGUGCUUUUGGUGAUCCUGUGCAUUGACGUGUCACUCAAGCAUUCAGCAAAGUAUUUGAACCAUGUGCUCACAGUCCGCUUGGCCGUGCUUCUCCGACACAAAAACCCAUUGGGAAAGAGCAGGGACUGGUUCUGGGCACCUUCCCUGGGAUUGUAGGGCAGUGUGAAAGAACUUGAAUAAAAGCUCUUCUGAUUCUUCCCUUCCCUCCCUGGUGCCAGGGGAGCAGGAAUCCUAGCCCCUGCGCCCCUUGCAGCCAUCCAGCUGGUCUGAACAGCUCUGCUUAUCAUGCCUUUGUCCAAAUCCCACUAUUACUAGUAUAUAGCUAAGUAAUUGAACUUUGUACUAUUUACAUAUUAUAUAAGUAAUUGUACUUAGCUAUCCAUAGACAGCUAAGUAUGUAUAGUUUGUAUAGUAAAUAUAUAUAGCUAAGUAAUUUUGUUUCAAACCUUACUAAGUGAACAAACCCCAAACACUGCACUUGACUUGAUAUAUAUAUAGUUUGAUAUUUUAUAUAUACACACACACACAUAUAGGUAUCAGUUAAACACAAUAUUUAAUUGAUUUAUGUAUAAUUUUAAACAAACUGGAAGCCUACCAGACCUCAAUCAUUAUAACAAAAUAAAUGCCAAAUAUCUA